UGCGUAGGCGGUCUCGCAAGUCUGGCGUGAAAGCCCAGGGCUCAGCCCCGGAAGUGCGCUAGAAACUGCGAGGCUUGAGUGCCGGAGGGGAGAGUGGAAUUCCCGGUGUAGCGGUGAAAUGCGUAGAUAUCGGGAGGAAUACCGGUGGCGAAAGCGACUCUCUGGACGGCAACUGACGCUGAGGCACGAAAGCGUGGGGAGCAAACA
rnacentral:rRNA from 1 species